UACGUAGGGUCCGAGCGUUGUCCGGAAUUACUGGGCGUAAAGAGCUCGUAGGUGGUUUGUCGCGUUGUUCGUGAAAACUCACAGCUCAACUGUGGGCGUGCGGGCGAUACGGGCAGACUGGAGUACUGCAGGGGAGACUGGAAUUCCUGGUGUAGCGGUGGAAUGCGCAGAUAUCAGGAGGAACACCGGUGGCGAAGGCGGUUCUCUGGGACGGUACUGACGCUGAGACGCGAAAGCGUGGGGAGCGAACAGG
rnacentral:rRNA from 1 species